rnacentral:rRNA from 1 species
CGCCUUUAGCCCCCCAAGUAUUAAAGGUCCUGCCUGCCCAGUGAAAUCUUUUCAACGGCCGCGGUAUCCUAACCGUGCAAAGGUAGCAUAAUCACUUGCCCCCCAAAUAGGGGCUUGUAUGAACGGCUAACUGAGGAUAUGCCUGUCUCUUAAGACCAAAUAAUGAACCUGAUCUCCUAGUACAAAAGCUAGAAUUACCACAUAAGACGAGAAGACCCUGUGGAGCUUCCAACCCUGCCCCCUAACAGCCACACAGGCCACCUUAGGGGCGGCUUUAAGUUGGGGCAACUAUGGAGAAAAACAAAACCUCCACGAACCGACUAACCAUCACCAAGGCCAACAAGCCAAACCCCCACCAAGACCCAGUACCACUGACCACCGAACCAAGUUACCCCAGGGAUAACAGCGCUAUCCUCUUUAAGAGCCCCUAUCGCCAAGAGGGCUUACGACCUCGAUGUUGGAUCAGGACACCCCGGUGGCGCAGCCGCUACCAAAGGUCCGUUUGUUCAACGGUUAAUGUCCU